UACGUAGGGUGCGAGCGUUGUCCGGAAUUAUUGGGCGUAAAGGGCUCGUAGGCGGUCUGUUGCGUCGGGAGUGAAAACUCAGGGCUUAACCCUGAGCCUGCUUCCGAUACGGGCAGACUAGAGGUAUGCAGGGGAGAACGGAAUUCCUGGUGUAGCGGUGAAAUGCGCGAUAUCAGGAGGACACCGGUGGCGAAGGCGGUUCUCUGGGCCUGACCUGACGCUGAGGAGCGAAAGCGUGGGGAGCGAACAGG
rnacentral:rRNA from 1 species